GAUAAACGCUGGCGGCGUGCAUGAGACAUGCAAGUCGAACGAACGAGCUUGCUCGUUAGUGGCGAACGGCUGAGUAACGCGUAGGUGACCUGCCCUGAAGUGGGGGAUAACGGCCCGAAAGGGUUGCUAAUACCGCAUGUGGCGACGUGUUCAUUCACGUCAUCAAAGCCGCGAGGCGCUUCAGGAGGGGCCUGCGUCCGAUUAGCUCGUUGGUGGGGUAACGGCUCACCAAGGCGACGAUCGGUAGGCGGUCUGAGAGGACGAUCACCCAGACUGGGACUGAGACACGGCCCAGACUCCUACGGGAGGCAGCAGUCGGGAAUUUUGCUCAAUGGGGGAAACCCUGAAGCAGCAACGCCGCGUGAGGGAUGAAGGCCUUCGGGUUGUAAACCUCUUUUGUCAGGGACGAUGAUGACGGUACCUGACGAAUAAGUCACGGCUAACUACGUGCCAGCCGCCGCAGUAAUAC
rnacentral:rRNA from 1 species